rnacentral:rRNA from 1 species
CCUACGGGUGGCUGCAGUGGGGAAUAUUGCACAAUGGGGGGAACCCUGAUGCAGCGACGCCGCGUGGGUGAGGAAGUACUUCGUUAUGUAAAGCUCUAUCAGCAGGGAAGAAAAUGACGGUACCUGACUAAGAAGCCCCGGCUAACUACGUGCCAGCAGCCGCGGUAAUACGUAGGGGGCAAGCGUUAUCCGGAUUUACUGGGUGUAACGGGAGCGUAGACGGCUUUGCAAGUCUGGAGUGAAAGGCGGGGGCUCAACCCCCGGACUGCUUUGGAAACUGUCAGGCUGGAGUGCAGGAGAGGUAAGUGGAAUUCCUAGUGUAGCGGUGAAAUGCGUAGAUAUUAGGAGGAACACCGGUGGCGAAGGCGGCUUGCUGGACUGUAACUGACGUUGAGGCUCGAAAGCGUGGGGAGCAAACAGGAUUAGAUACCCGAGUAGUC